CCCGUACGAUCACUGAAGUUAAGCAACUUCAAGCUUGGCCAGUACCUAGAUGGGUGACCGCUUGGGAAUAACAAGCGCCGUA